rnacentral:tRNA from 1 species
GCCGCAGUGGCGGAAUGGCAGACGCUCCUGACUCCCAAUCAGGUGUCCACAUGGGCGUGCGGGUUCAAAUCCCGUCUGCGGCACCA